CCUACGGGAGGCAGCAGUGAGGAAUAUUGGUCAAUGGGCGCGAGCCUGAACCAGCCAAGUCGCGUGAAGGAAGACGGCCCUAUGGGUUGUAAACUUCUUUUGUAGGGGAGUAAAAGACGCUACGCGUAUCGUUCUGAAAGUACCCUAAGAAUAAGGAUCGGCUAACUCCGUGCCAGCAGCCGCGGUAAUACGGAGGAUUCGAGCGUUAUCCGGAUUUAUUGGGUUUAAAGGGUGCGUAGGCGGGUGGAUAAGUUAGGGGUGAAAUUUUGAGGCUCAACCUCGUAAUUGCCGUUGAUACUGGUCGGCUUGAGUGUAGUAGAGGUAGGCGGAAUGUGUGGUGUAGCGGUGAAAUGCUUAGAUAUCACGCAGAACUCCGAUUGCGAAGGCAGCAUACC
rnacentral:rRNA from 1 species